rnacentral:rRNA from 1 species
UACGGGGGAGCAAGCGUUGUUCGGAUUUACUGGGCGUAAAGGGCGCGUAGGCGGUCGUGACAAGUCACUUGUGAAAUCUCCGGGCUUAACUCGGAACGGUCAAGUGAUACUGUCGGACUAGAGUACAGAAGGGGCAACUGGAAUUCUCGGUGUAGCGGUGAAAUGCGUAGAUAUCUGGAGGAAUACCGGUGGCGAAGGCGGCAUCCUGGACCGGCAGUU